rnacentral:lncRNA from 1 species
UGGCUGUCGGCAUCUUUAUUUACCAAUCAGAAAUAAGUUGAAGGCAAGGUCACAUAGCAUUACUUGGGUCUAUAUGAGGACUCUCUCAUCUCUGGGACAAUCAAGUCUUGAGGAACCAGAUCUGGCUUUAGAAUAUAAGCAGCACCAGGCCAACCCACUGCAAUAGGAGUGAAAGUGAAGGCUUAAUGUGAAAGCUCACGGAAGCUCUUCUCCUUACGAAACCGAGCUUUCAGCAGAGACUUUGGUCUGCUUACAGCCAGCCAAUGGCAUCUCUCCUCAGCUCACCCUUGCUUAUCAAGGUUUCAUACUCUCUCCUGUCUCUCCGAACACGGAUCAUGUUGACCUCCAAAACCAUGUUUAUAGAUGCAUCUCAGCACAUGUUUCCUCAAGAAGCCAGUGUGCUUUUGUGAUGUCAUUACCUCCAAAGAGCCUAACGUACCUUCAUGUGGUGAGAAUCAUUAUUCAGUGAGUAACUUACAC